rnacentral:rRNA from 1 species
UACGAAGGGGGCUAGCGUUGUUCGGAAUUACUGGGCGUAAAGCGCGCGUAGGCGGCUAUCCAAGUCAGUGGUGAAAGCCCGGAGCUCAACUCCGGAACUGCCAUUGAAACUGUUUAGCUUGAGGACGAGAGAGGUGAGUGGAAUUCCCAGUGUAGAGGUGAAAUUCGUAGAUAUUGGGAAGAACACCGGUGGCGAAGGCGGCUCACUGGCUCGUAUCUGACGCUCAGGCGCGACAGCGUGGGGAGCAAACAGG